rnacentral:rRNA from 1 species
AUGGAUGGUGAUUGGCGCAGUUUGGAUGAGUUGGGGCCUCUUUCCCAACUCAUGUUUCUUGAAUUAGUUCAAUUGGAGAAUGUAUCUGCUCCCUCAUUUGCAGCUAAUGCUAGGCUCGGCGAGAAGACGCAUCUUAUCACGCUAACCCUGGUCUGCACCAGUAAUCUAGGAGAUGAUGGGUUUCUCAAAGAGAAGGAAGAUGUCUCUGAGGAAGAGCAGCAACGAAUUGAGAAGGUUCUCGAUAAGCUUUGCCCUCCACCUGGUGUAGAAUUUCUUCAAAUCACAGGAUAUUUUGGCCGGCAACUCCCGAGCUGGAUGAUUUCCACAUCAAUGACAACUUCCCAACGGGUUGUGCCAGCCCCCAAAUCUGUAGCUCCUACAGGUCUUUCGUGCUCCAUGCAUCAAACAUGUUGGGACUGGAUUCGUGCAGUCAACAACAGCUUCAUUUCCAAGCUUUUACUGAAUGGAUGCCCCGAUCUGGAGAGGAUCACAAAUCUCCCCAAUCUGCAGAAGCUUGCCAUCGCCAAGUGCCCAAAGUUGAAGGUGUUGGAGCGUAUCGCUUCUCUCUCGAGUCUGGGCUUGGAGGAUUACACCAUGGAAGAACGCCCAGAAUAUAUGCGAAACAUAAAGCUACGAAAUUUGCAGUUAUUCUGCGGGCUAUGGUUGCUCUCUACGGUAGCCGCAGGACAAUCUGGCACUGAGUGGGACAAGUUUAGCCAUUUGGAGCAUGUCCAGGCAUAUGCGCCUGAUGGAGACAACGAAAGGAAAUGGUAUGUUUUGUACACGAGAGGAGACAACUGCAAGUUGGAUUCAAAUUUUAGCAGCUCUACUGUAUUUGAAGAAACCUUAUCAUCUUCUAUGGUGGAUGCACAAGGGUUUGAGUCUAUGUACAAAAUGAGAAGAAGCACCUUCAGUUAUGUUUGCAGCUUGGUGAGGAUCCCAUUUUUUGAAGAUAUGAUGGCAAGGGAUCACACCUUUGUUGAUGGGAGAUUGCUGUCUUUGCAAGACAGAGUAGCUGUCGCUCUAAGGGUACUGAACUCUGGCGACUCUCCGGUUACUGUAGGAUCCUCUCUUGGUGUGAACGAGUCAACUGUAUCACUGUUAACUCAUGUGUUUGUUGAGGCCAUGUGGGACCGAGCAAUGCUCCACUGCAGCUGGCCUCGCUCCACUAAGAUGGAGAAGAUCAAGCACAAGUUUGACAAGAUGCACGGCCUGCCAAACUGUUGUGGUGUUGUACAUACAGCUCACAUCACGUUUGGAUCACAAAACCCUGACCAUGAGGAGAAUGACGUUGUUCUAGUGCAAGCCGUUAUUGAUCUAGAUAUGAGGAUGACAGAGUUUUGGUUGGACGGUGAUCUCUUGGAGUGCAUUGAGAAAUAUGCUUGGCUGAAUGGCGGUAAGGUGAAGUUAUCAGAUGGCCCGGAGGUUGGGGAAUACAUCAUUGGUGAUGCAGGAUACCCUCUUCGUCCAUGGCUCCUCACACCUUACCAGUUAGAAAAUGGUCUCCCACUCUCAGAGUCCAAAGUCGAGUUUAACAUGAGACACUCUGCAGCUACAGCCGUCGCGGCGAGGGUGUUGACAAGGUUGAAAGACACAUGA